GAUGAACGCUGGCGGCGUGCCUAAUACAUGCAAGUCGAGCGAACAGACGAGGAGCUUGCUCCUCUGACGUUAGCGGCGGACGGGUGAGUAACACGUGGAUAACCUACCUAUAAGACGGGGAUAACUUCGGGAAACCGGAGAUAAUACCGGAUAAUAUAUUGAACCGCAGGGUUCAAUAGUGAAAGACGGUUUUGCUGUCACUUAUAGAUGGAUCCGCGCCGCAUUAGCUAGUUGGUAAGGUAACGGCUUACCAAGGCAACGAUGCGUAGCCGACCUGAGAGGGUGAUCGGCCACACUGGAACUGAGCCACGGUCCAGACUCCUACGGGAGGCAGCAGUAGGGAAUCUUCCGCAAUGGGCGCAAGCCUGACGCAGCCACGCCGCGUGAGUGAUGAAGGUCUUCGGAUCGUAAAGCUCUGUUAUUGGGGAAGAACAAAUGUGUAAGUAACUAUGCACGUCUUGACGGUACCUAAUCAGAAAGCAACGGCUAACUACGUG
rnacentral:rRNA from 1 species